GGCUGGUCCGAGUGCAGUGGUGUUUACAACUAAUUGAUCACAACCAGUUACAGAUUUCUUUGUUCCUUCUCUACUCCCACUGCUUCACUUGACUAGCCUAAA
ensembl:misc_RNA Y_RNA Y RNA